rfam:Rhizobiales bacterium TMED25 MHASMcontig_789834, whole genome shotgun sequence.
ACACUUUCUUUGUGUUUGUUUUAAUAUUAUGAUGAUCAAGCUGUUUCAGCUAUGGUAAUAAAUAGGCGUCAAAAUAAACUUAUCGGACCCGGGGGCGGUACCCGGCGCCUCCACCAAUAAAUUUUUAUGGGGGCGAAAUAGGAUCGACGAGAGUGUAAAAGGCAUUCUUUUACUCGGUAUAGUACCACCGUUAUCGGGCUAAUUUUAUAGUUGCAAACGACAACUAUGCUCCGGUCGCAGUAGCUGCAUAGCAGCUUGAGCACCGAAACUUAAGUCCUUGGCUCUAGCAAGUCAAGGCGGGGUCUGGGGGCACCUGGCAACAGAACGCCCCUUAA